GGCACGGGGGAUUAGUGGUUAGCAUGUUUGGCUCACACCUCCAGGGUCGGGGGUUCGAUUUCCACCGUGGCC